GACGAACGCUGGCGGCGUGCUUAACACAUGCAAGUCGAACGAAGUGGCGAACGGGUGAGUAACGCGUAAUCAACCUGCCCUUCAGAGGGGGACAACAGUUGGAAACGACUGCUAAUACCGCAUCCUGCAGGAGGGGUGUGCGUCGGAUUAGCUAGUUGGCGGGGUAACGGCCAACCAAGGCGAUGAUCAGUAGCCGGUCUGAGAGGAUGACCGGCCACAUUGGUACUGAGACACGCCCCAGACGCCUACGGGAGGCAGCAGUGGGGAAUCUUCCGCAAGGGACGAAAGUCUGACGGAGCAACGCCGCGUGAGUGAUGACGGCCUUCGGGUUGUAAAGCUCUGUUAAUCGGGACGCGGUACCGGAAUAGAAAGCCACGGCUAACUACGUGCCAGCAGCCGCGGUAAUAC
rnacentral:rRNA from 1 species